rnacentral:misc_RNA from 1 species
AUGUAGAUACAGAAAUUUCUCAUCACAUAACAACAAUUUUUUCAAGUUUAGGUAGCUGAGCUUUCUCUUCCAAUAAGUCCAGCACACUACAUCUGUAUUAGUCAAACAGGGUGAUUCCAACUAUUGUGAUAUUUUUUCAUGUUCUAGUUAAUGCCAAUCUGUGAGUAACACUGUGGUUUCAUCAGUAUUUGUUGAAUACCAAUUUUCGUGGAUUUCGUUGUUAAGUUGAUCCACGAAAUUAAAUGUUCAUCGAAGUUCAAUUUCAACUAACAUUUUGUAUUGAUAGGAUCAUUGGCCAUAAAAUUACGUAUACUUGAAACUGUAGUUUUCAGAAAAUCGAUGAAAAUUGGUACCCACGAAAAUUAAUGAAAGCAUAAUAUAUGUCUUUGUUCUGUUCUCAAAUCCUCAAUUAUAUAAACAUUCUUCUGUUUAAAGUGGUUCGGGUGUUUGUGACCAUUUCCAUCUUUAUUUACCACUUUUAGACAAAGAUAUAGAAAAAUGUUCACCACUUUUAGACAAAGAAAUCUGUAUAGAGAUAUAGAAAAAUGUUCAUCCAAAUUUUCAGCUAAUAUAUUUGGAUUUUUUUUUUUUACUGAAUAAUAAUUCAUGGCCAAACAUUCCAUAUUUAAAAAGUUUAAGGUAGAUCUGAGGGUUGAUUUAUUGACCACCCAACCUCCUUAAAAGUUCAAAGCCCUUUAAAAAAGGGACUUAACUCCUGGAGGAUUAUAAAUUUAUCUUAAUCUCUAUUUUUCUUGAAUAGAUAAACUGAAUAAAUUUCAAAAACUC